rnacentral:lncRNA from 1 species
CUCCUCAUAAUUCUUCUCCAGGGCAGCUAUGUCCUCAGAGGCCUCAAAAAACUCUCCUUCCUCCAUGCUUUCACCCACUUACCAGUGAAUAAAUCAUACAUACAUCAGGUGAAUCUUGGGGUCCAGGCGAGCCCAGGACUCAGCAAUGGCUGUGGUAUUGCUCAGCAUGCACACAGCUCAUUGUACUUUGGCCAGGUCUCCACCAGCUACCACAGUGAGAGACCUGUAAUCAAUACCAACUUUGAAGCCAGUGGGGUACCAUCCCACAAAGGGGAUGCUUGGUCUUGUUGGUGGCAAUGGCAGCACUGACAUCUUUGGGAACCACAUCGCCAUGGUACAACAGGCAGCAAGCCAUGUAUUUACCAUGGUGAGGGUCACAUUUCACCAUCUGGCUUUCUGGCUCAACUCACAUACUAGUGGUCUCUGCUCAGAGGACUGUUCAUGGUAGGUUUUCUCAGUAGAGAUGGCAAGGGCAUAUAUGGCCAGAGGGAAAUGGAUGUGGGGAUAGGAUACCAGGCGGGUCUGGAAUUCUGUCAGAUUGAGGGCUCCAUCAAAUCUGGGGAAAGCAGUGAUGGAAGACACAAUCCAGCUAAUGAAGCAAUUAAGAUUAGUGUAGUUUGGGCACUCAAUAUCGAUAUUUCUAUGACAGAUGUCAUAGAUGGUCUCUUGUCUAUCAUGAAGGCACAAUCAGAGUGCUCCAGGGUGACAUAGGUGGUGAAUAGGAGUUACAGGGCUCAACUACAGCUGUGGAAACCUGGUGGAUUGGGUAAAUGGAGAACUCCAGCUUGGACUUCUUGCCAUAAUCAAUAGUUAUUCCAUCAUCAGGGAGGUGAACGCAGAACCAGUUCCCCCUCCAAAGCCGUGGAAAACCAAGAUGUCUUGAACACCUGUGUGCUUGUUGGCCACUUUCUGAAUUUAGUCCAAGAUAAGGUCAAUGAUCUCCUUGCCAGUGGUAUAAUGUCCUUGGGCAUAGUUGUUGGCAGCAUUUUCCUUGCCUGUGAUGAGCUGCCCAGGGUGGAAUAGCUGGCAGUAGGUACCAGUGUAAACGUCACCAAUGACUGUGGGUUCCAGGUCUAUAAACACUACCUUGCGCACACACUUGCCAGCACCCACCUCACUGAAGAAGAUGUUGAAGGAGUCAUCUUCCGUCAAUUGGCAUCUGGCCAUUGGGUUGGAUGCCGUAUUGCAGGCAAUAGAACUCCAGUAGACAUUGCUGAUCUGGACAUCAGCCUGGCCAACAUAGAUAGUGAUGCAGUUGUGCGUGGUGGCUACAGACUAGGAGGCACGGGCAACAACAGGAGCAGACACCGGGUCCCAGUUAUUGUCCC